rnacentral:rRNA from 1 species
CCUACGGGAGGCAGCAGUGAGGAAUAUUGGUCAAUGGGCUUACGUCUGAACCAGCCAAGUCGCGUGAAGGAAGACUGCCCUAUGGGUUGUACACCUCUUUUGUCAGGGAGCAACGCCGGCUACGUGUAGCCGGACUGAGAGUACCUGAAGAAAAAGCAUCGGCUAACUCCGUGCCAGCUGCCGCGGUAAUACGGAGGAUGCGAGCGUUAUCCGGAUUUAUUGGGUUUAAAGGGUGCGUAGGCGGAUUGAUAAGUUAGAGGUGAAAUGUCCGAGCUUAACUCGGGAAUUGCCUCUAAUACUGUUGAUCUAGAGAGUAGAUGCGGUAGGCGGAAUGUAUGGUGUAGCGGUGAAAUGCUUAGAGAUCAUACAGAACACCGAUUGCGAAGGCAGCUUACCAAGCUAUAUCUGACGUUGAGGCACGAAAGCGUGGGGAGCAAACAGGAUUAGAUACCCUGGUAGUC